CAAAUGUUAUUUUUGACUUAGUCGAGCCUUUGGUUUGGGUCCCGAGGAGUUCGGGUGUGUUUUAGAUACUUGGUUGGAAAGUUGGGUUUUGAUAGUGGUUGAGUUGACCCUGAUCAACCCUGGACAAAACGAGCUCUUUUGGAAAAUGUGAUUGCGCGAGCGAGUUCGUAGCGUAUUUUAUGAUAGAAAUGCAUAUUUGGUUUGUAUCCGGGGUUUUCCAAAUGAGAUUCGGGUGUUGGUUCGGAAUUUUGGAAAACAAGAUUUUUCGUGUUUUAGUCAUCUGGUUUUUCCUUCUUCGCGAGAGGGCCUCGCUUUGCUAUGAAGUGGGAUCAGAUGGGUCAUCACGUUUGCGUAGGGUAGGCAGUGUCUGGACCGUUUUGGCAUGGUCAUUGCAUUCACGAAGCUAUCUCGCCUUCGAGAAGGGUAAUUACCUGAACAGUGAAUUAAAACCCCAAACUUGAGUUUUAUUUCCCAUUCACCAUUUUAGAAGCUAGAGAGCUCCAAAGAAUCAAAGUUCCAAGAUCAAGUUUCUUCACUGUGGUAAGAUCUUAAUCUUCCUCUAAUCAUUUUUCAUUAAUUUCUUCUUUUAGAUUAAAUUUGAAUUCAUAAUUUCUAGAGUAGAAAUUGGGGAGUUUUCUAUAGAAAUGGGUUUAAAGAAUUUAUAAAAUUGAGGGUUAAAUGGGAUUGGAACUCGAUGAUUUUUGGGAUUUAGACUAUCUAAGUUUUAGGUAAGAUGAUUCUAGGCUUAAAUUCCAAACCUUGUGGGGUGGGGGUUACCUUUUUGGGUCUAUGAUUGGGUACGAACUAAUACUUAGAACAUGGGUAUUGUUGGGUUCAUACAAUCGUAUAGAUUACUAAUUUGACCAUAUUGAACCCAGAUUUGUGUUAAAUUACUGUGUUUACCCUUGGGGUUUGGGACGGAGUUUUAGGUUGUUUUUUGGAUCCGAAUUCUUUUAUAUAGAAACAUAGGUAUCCAUAGCUUUGUAUUCUGAUCUAGAACGUAUAUUUGAACAUAGUGGACUCGUUUGGAGGCUCAGAGGAAAGGCAAGGCCGUGGAGUGAAACUUCGACUUCAAAUUCAGGCAUGUUGAGAUUUACUAGACCCUUUAUGUAGUGUUAUGUGUUGGUAAAUAUAUUAAGGGGUAAAAUGGUAAAUAUGGGGUCUCAUACUCGUGAGGUAACGAGCACUUAUGCGUGUAACCGUGUAUUUGUUUUGGGGAAUUCAAAUGUGAAACUAGAAUAAUUAUGACGGAUAUUAUGUGUUUAGCCUUCGAACCAUGAGAAUAGUGCAUAUAUCCAUUUAGGUUGGUAUGCUUGCAGCUUAUUUUGGCAAUGAGUGCCAUGAUUGAAUGAGUACACAUAUUUGUUAACUGAGUUGCAUUCAUCACUCAACAUCUCGUCUGAUUUAUGGAAAAAGACACUUAAAUUUUGAUAUUGACUUGCUAUUUUGCACUUGCAUGAUGUACACAUAUCCAAUUAUUCUUUCUUGAUACUGCUAGUAUAUGACUGGUAAAUGGCAAGACGGAUUUUGGAUAUGGUACAUGGCUACGGAGUGAUAAUGAUAUUCAGCCAACGGUUGAGAUCCGAUGUGAUCUAGGAGAUUUGGUAUUUCGCAUGGGUAUAUAGACCUCAUGAGUCCCCUAUAGGUCAUGUGAAACCUACUGUAGGAGCGUGUGUAUACCAGUGUAUAUGGAGUUUGGAUUGCAUACUAUUCACUUACAUCACAUGCAUUGUUUGCGUCUCAUAUAAUUUGUGCUGAGUUGAAAUUGAUUUCAUGGUAUAUGUGUGUCAAAGGACUUAAAGAUGGAUUCUUCACGCUUAUACCUGACAUAAAUGAGGUAAAGAUAGAAUCUUUACUCUUGGAAUGGGCUUAACUAAGUAGACUGAAUCCUUAUAAGUGUGUUGGGAUAGGAGUGGAUUGUAAGAGCGGUUUUACCGUUCAUACCUUCUUUAUUUGUUGGAAUACCUAAACAUUGUGUGGAUUUGAACAAACAAAGAAGGAAGAGAGGUAUAAGAAGUACCAACCCUCAUCAUUACUAUAGUUUAGGACCGAUCAAUGAUGUUGUAGGGGACACAUGCUUCCUGUACUCACUCUAUACUUGAUGCACGUUUUGUGUGCAGGUACUGAUCCGGGUACGAGCUGGGCAUCUUUCUUCGAGUUGAUUUGGGGUGUUUCGUGGAGUUCCAGGGUAUGCUGAUGAGUUUCCCACAACAUCUGACUUCAUUCUAUCGUUACUAUUUCUGUCUUAUUUUCAUUUCAGACAGUUUACGUAUUAGUAUUCAAACUUGUACUCGCCGUACAUACUCAUGUACUGUGACUUUAAUUUCAGGUUUUGGGGUAUUAAUUGUAUUGACUUAAACUAUUACUUCCUUAUUAGAGUUAUUAUGAGACUUAUAUCGUUUUCUUUA
rnacentral:lncRNA from 1 species